GCUGGGGGCGGUGGCUCAUGCCUGUAAUCCCAGUUACUCAGGAGGCUGAGGCAGGAGAAUUGCUUGAACCCGUGAGGCAGAGGUUGCAGUGAGCCAAGAUCAAGCCACUAUACCCCAGCCUGGGUGUGGGAGGGGGUCCCCUUUUCAAAAAAAAAAAAAAAAAAAANNNNNNNNNNUUCUUGAGAUAGGGUCUCACUCCAUCACCCAGGCUGGAGUAUAGUGGCUUGAUCUUGGCUCACUGCAACCUCUGCCUCACGGGUUCAAGCAAUUCUCCUGCCUCAG
rnacentral:SRP_RNA from 1 species